rnacentral:rRNA from 1 species
CAGCAUAGAGUAGCAAUACUUUGAUGGCGACCGGCGCACGGGUGAGUAACACGUAUGCAACCUACCUACAUCAGGGGAAUAACCCGGAGAAAUUCGGACUAAUACCGCAUAAUACAGGGAUGCCGCAUGGCAAUAUUUGUUAAAGAUUUAUCGGAUGUAGAUGGGCAUGCGUUCCAUUAGCUAGUUGGUAAGGUAACGGCUUACCAAGGCAACGAUGGAUAGGGGAACUGAGAGGUUUGUCCCCCACACUGGAACUGAGACACGGACCAGACUCCUACGGGGGGCAGCAGUGAGGAAUAUUGGUCGAUGGACGAGAGUCUGAACCAGCCAAAUCGCGUGAAGGAAGACUGCCCUACGGGUUGUAAACUUCUUUUGUACAGGAAUAAAAGACAUUACGUGUAAUGUAUUGCAUGUACUGUACGAAUAAGCAUCGGCUAACUCCGUGCCAGCAGCCGCGGUAAUACGGAGGAUGCGAGCGUUAUCCGGAUUUAUUGGGUUUAAAGGGUGCGCAGGCGGGAUUUUAAGUCAGCGGUGAAAUUUUCAGGCUCAACCUGAACACUGCCGUUGAAACUGGGAUUCUUGAGUAUGGAUGAAGUAGGCGGAAUUCGUUGUGUAGCGGUGACAUGCUUAGAUAUAACGAGGAACUCCGAUUGCGUAGGCAGCUUACUAAGCCAUAACUGACGCUCAAGCACGAAAGCGUGGGGAUCAAACAGGAUUAGAUACCCUGGUAGUCCACGCCGUANACGAUGAUUACUAGUUGUUUGCGAUAUACCGUAAGUGACUAAGCGAGAGCGAUAAGUAAUCCACCUGGGGAGUACGCCGGCAACGGUGANNNUCAAAGGAAUUGACGGGGGCCCGCA